rnacentral:rRNA from 1 species
AGCAGCCGCGGUAAUUCCAGCUCCAAUAGCGUAUAUUAAAGUUGUUGCAGUUAAAAAGCUCGUAGUUGAAUUUCGGGAUUAGUACGUUGGUCGUGCCUUCGGUACGUACUGGUGUUACUGAUUCCUACCUUCUGACGAACCAUCACGUCAUUAAUUUGGUGUUAUGGGGAGUUAGGACUGUUACUUUGAAAAAAUUAGAGUGUUUAAAGCAGGCUAACGCCUGAAUACAUUAGCAUGGAAUAAUGAAAUAGGACGUUCGAUCCUAUUUUGUUGGUUUCUAGGAUUGACGUAAUGAUUAAUAGGGAUAGUUGGGGGCAUUAGUAUUCAAUUGUCAGAGGUGAAAUUCUUGGAUUUAUUGAAGACUAACUACUGCGAAAGCAUUUGCCAAGGAUGUUUUCAUUAAUCAAGAACGAAAGUUAGGGGAUCGAAGACGAUCAGAUACCGUCGUAG